rnacentral:lncRNA from 1 species
UUUCUCUCUCCGUUUUCUAGAAACCCUAAACUCGCAACGCCGCUUCCCCCUGUACAAACACACAUUCUUAUGAAAUCAGAAAGAUGAAGCUUCAGUGUAGUUGUAGUCUGUGGAAAAAAGACCCAGGUAGUUUUUUUAUGGCUGAAUGUUUUCAUAGAUCUACCGGACCACUAUCGACUUUGCAGAUCUGAGUUUUUAGCUACAUUCAAGAACGGUACAAACAACAUUCUUGCGUCAAUCAGAAGGAUGAAGCUUCGGUGUAGUUGAAAUCAGGAAACAAGCAGAGCUAGGGAAGAUGACAAGCCCGGAUCUGAUAGGUUUGCUUCGGUAUAGUUGCAAUCGGUGGAUGAAGAUGGAAAUCAGAUGAAGAUGGAGUGAUGGAGAUGACAAGCAAAACUUUGCAGAUCUGAGUUUUUUUUGGUUGUUUAGUGGAUGAUUGUGGCAUUAGGUUCACCUGAGAUGUGAUUUCUUGUAUGUUGAAGGCUAUGAUGAUCCAGCUCUCCGUUUUAGCAGGCGAGGACAUCAAGAAAAUAACUUUCUGAACACGUUUCUUAUAAUGUUUGGGAUCUUUUUCGUGCUUGUGAUGAUCAGCCGCACGAGGGAGUAUAUACAACUUUCUGCACAAGCAAAAUGAUUCAUUUAAGCUUCCUUUGUUACUGAAGAUAGCAAUCGAUAUAUCCAAAGGCAUCAGUUACCUGUAUCAAAACAAUAUUAUCCACAGGGACGUGAAAACCGCCAAUCUUCUGAUGGAUGAGCACGACGUUGUGAAAGUUGCUGAUUUUGGAGUUGCAAGGGUGCAGACUGAAUCUGGAGUAAUGACGGCAGAAACCGGAACAUACAGGUGGAUGGCACCCGAGAUUGUGCCAAAAGUUAAUAGAUCGAAAAGGCUGCUGAUCCAAGUUUAGAAGAGGUAAGCAACGAAAGACACAACGGCUGUGCAAGUAAAGCAGGUACCCACAACACCGUUUCAUCGCUAUCCAUUGAUGGGGAAGUCUCUGGUGCGACCCCAAACUCCUGAGCCAUGGUUCCAGUACUGUUGAAGGCUAUGAGCACCAUAAUGGUGAGUGCAGUGGCUAGCUCGACACUUUCCAUUUCGGCGAGUGUAGAGAAAGAUAGGUUUAGUAGCUUGUACGAGUGUUGCAAUUGAAGUAGGAUUAGAGGUAGUUUAGUGGGGAUUAGUGGAGGAAUUUAACAGCUAAUAACAUUGUUAGUAUUAUUUAUGAAACAAAGCCUUUUCAUUUGAUAGGAAGUGAGUAUCAAAUUAGGAGACCUUUAAAAUAUUGAAACUGUAUCGGAAGCAUUUGAAUGAGGCAAAUGGUUCGAGUUUUGAUAACAAAAGUUUCUGUAAUCCACAUUGUCAUUGGCUUUUGUAACACCGUCUUUAUGAAGUUACUGGUUUAUUUCAAGUGAUUCAUAGAUUC